UACAGGGGGUGCUAGCGUUGUUCGGAAUUAUUGGGCGUAAAGCGCGCGCAGGCGGUCCUUUAAGUCUGAUGUGAAAGCCCACGGCUCAACCGUGGAGGGUCAUUGGAAACUGGGGGACUUGAGUGCAGAAGAGGAGAGUGGAAUUCCACGUGUAGCGGUGAAAUGCGUAGAGAUGUGGAGGAACACCAGUGGCGAAGGCGACUCUCUGGUCUGUAACUGACGCUGAGGCGCGAAAGCGUGGGGAGCAAACAGG
rnacentral:rRNA from 1 species